AUGAGCAGAUCAGGGCAGCCACCGGAUUUGAAAAAGUACAUGGACAAACAGCUUCAAAUCAAGCUGAAUGCAAAUCGCAUGAUUGUUGGUACUCUCCGAGGCUUUGACCAGUUUAUGAAUUUGGUUGUUGACAACACUGUGGAGGUGAAUGGCAAUGAGAAAAAUGACAUAGGAAUGGUGGUAAUUAGAGGAAAUAGUGUGGUAACUGUAGAGGCACUUGAACCAGUGAACAGGAGCAUUUGA